AGUAGGUGUGAUGACUUAGUUACCGCCCCAGUCUGAUUCAUCUGACUGAAUGGUAUUACUCUGACCUCAG